GAGGCCUUAGCUUAAUUAAAGUGUUUGAUUUGCAUUCAUUGGAUGUGCAUUAGUGUUGCACAGGUCUUA
rnacentral:tRNA from 1 species